rnacentral:rRNA from 1 species
UACGUAGGGCGCAAGCGUUGUCCGGAAUUAUUGGGCGUAAAGAACUCGUAGGUGGCUUGUCGCGUCGGGUGUGAAAGCUUGGGGCUUAACUCCAGGUCUGCAUUCGAUACGGGCUGGCUAGAGGUAGGUAGGGGAGAACGGAAUUCCUGGUGUAGCGGUGAAAUGCGCAGAUAUCAGGAGGAACACCGGUGGCGAAGGCGGUUCUCUGGGCCUUACCUGACGCUGAGGAGCGAAAGCGUGGGGAGCGAACAGG